ACCAACUGCCUAACUGUCAAAACCUGCCACAUGGAACAUCUAAGCUUCUCUACUCACCAGACGGCCUCAAAUCAUGGGGAGCACCAAAGGCUUGGGACUUAUGUCGUUGUAUCUUUCAUCCACACUAGUCUUUCUGUUGGAAUGCCUUUGCCAAUUUUGACUGCCUGGCAAACUCUUAUUCAUCCUUCAAUUCUCAGAGGGAUAUCUAUCAGACAUUCUACCUGGCGUCUGCUGCUCCAUCAUCACUGCAUCCAUCAUCACCAGAGGAGUCUCCUCUCCUUCUGUGGGUGAGUUCUGGAGAAGACCUGGGCACACUGAGCUCAGCCACUUCCCCUUCCUGGUAUGGGUCUUCCCUCAUGACUUCACCACCACCUUAAUCACCUCCUAAAGGCCUCACCUUUUAAUUCUGUCACAUGGGAGUUUAAGUUCCAACAAAUACCUUUUGGAGGGGUACAAACAUUCAAACCAUAGCAUGGUGAUGGUGGGGUCAUAUGCCCAAGAGAUGUAUAGGAUUCACUGUAAAGAUGGCACAUAAAAGAGGACAUAUAUUAAUGGAGAAACCAGCUUGGAUGUAAAUAGAUGACCGAAUCUUGCUUAGAUGUUGGUCUGAUAGGAACAUAUUGGUUGGUAUUAUUCCACUAAGGAAAGCAAAGAUACAAAAAAUAAGCAGUUUUUGUUGAAUAAACAAACCCACUGGCAGACUCAGAACUCGUGCACUUGACAGCUCUCCCUCACUAUGGGGAGACCCCACAAGACUUGUUAGAAGAGCUCGUUAGGAAAACAGAUGCCUUGGCCAGAAAACAAAGGGACAGUACAAGGAAAGAGACAUUCAGUUUCAGCAAAUAAUGCUAGCUUUAUUAGGGACAAAAGGGGCCAAUUGAAGAGAUUAAGGCUGUUACAAACUCCACUUAGCCUUCUUGAAUGGAAUUAAAAGUCAGUGCAGGGAAAUAAAACUCUAGAAGCACACCUUCCUACUACAGAAGAUGUUGCAUGUGGAACUGCUACAUGGUCUGGAACAUUCAAAGCUUAGAAAAGACUGUCUUGGAGAGCCUGUGGCAAAGGCAUUGGGCAUCACCAGGCUGCCAGGGGCUCAAACCUCAGCAGGUUCAGUUCAAGAAUCUGCUGAGAGCGAUUCUGUGGCUGAAGCAAAUGUGGCAUUAAGGAGGAAGCUCCCCAAAAGGCAUCCUUUACAAUUUCAGGGCAGCCCUGGGACUCAGGACAGAGCUAUCUGCCCUGGGGAGAUAGGGGAGGAGUGGAGGCCGUGUUGCCAGACAGAGCCCAUUGAGACACAUGGAACUAGAAAGGAAAUGGGUUUUAGGAUGUUUCAAAUAUAUUGGGUGGGAAAGAGGGACAUUUCUCAACUUAAUUAGAAGUCAGCAUUGUUUGUUUGAGAGAGGACACAAUUUGUCUAGUGGGAUUUUUCCAGUAGAUAUGGUCAACAAACUGCUGUGACUUCUCAACCGAUGGGCAGUUUUUCCUAACCAAGUUGAAGGUCCCAGGCCACAUGUUCUGGACACGUGGCAUGCACUGGCUGACAUCCUGCCAAGGCUAAGACCCAGGUAUUCUUCGUCUACUCUUCUUCCCUCGGAAACUGCCACAUCUUUGGCAACACUAAGCGUUUGGUUCUGGCCCUAGGGCUUUGAGAAAGUUAUAAAUACAUUAGGAGUUGAGGAUUCCCUUCUCUGCCACACUUGGCCUGUGUAGGGUCAGGGCUGGGAUUCUACUGUAAAUCCCAUUAACUCUUUAGGCCCUUGAUUAAAGUAAGGCAAAUAUGAAAGACAUUUGUCUUUUGAGGUCCUGAAAAGUUCUAGCCUGGGCUGUGAGAGUUAAAGGAGUAAUAUAUGCAGUGAAACUAAUAAUGAGAAUAAUUAUUAUGUCAAUGGAAUGCCUCUUCUAUGCAAGGUAAAUCGUUUAAAAUUUAAAAUUAAUUUUUUUUUUUGGCAUUUUUAAGUCUGCCGAAGUAGUGAGAGGUAGGACUGGAGAGCCUGGAGAGGGAAGACAGGCCAGAUUGGGCGGGGCCUCACCUUGUGUGCUUCAUCUUGAAGGACGCGUGCAGCUAUCAGGCAGGAGUUUUGGGAAGGAGAGUUUGGUGAUCAGAUUUUGACUUGAAAAAUCCAUCUGAUUGGAGUGUGGAGGUUGCGUAUGGGAGGACGGGGGCAUGCAGUUAGGGAGAUCAGUAGAGGGGCUGUGGACAUAGCACAGGUGAGAAAUGACAGCGGCCUUUAUCCAAUGUAGUGGGAGUGGUAGAGAUAUGGGAAGAGGUGGAGAACAGAUGGGCCUUGUUGAGUGGAUGUGGAGUUUAAAUGUUGUUAUCUAGAACUAUUUACAUGCUUUUAGCUUAGACAACUGGUCAGAUGGUGAUGUCCUUCAUGAGAUAGGGCAUAAAACAAAACAAAAUGAGCGCAGCAGUGGCAGUAGUAGUAAGAGGUAAGAAGGCUUUUUGCGCUUAGUAAAUUCCAGGCUGUGCAUCGAUUACCUCAUUUAACACGGGCAACAAUGCAAUGUGCUAGUUAUUAUUAAUAUGUGGAUUUUACAGAGGAGGAAACCCAGGCUCAGAAAGGUGAAAGAACUUGCUGGUGGUUACACUUCUAAGAAUCAGGGAAAGAAAAUUUGGAAUCAGAUGGAUCUGGACUCAAAUUCUGGAUCCCCUAGUUGUGGGAACUUAGGCAUGCAUAGUAACUGGUCCUAUCACGGAGAUGACACUUACCAUGUAAGAUUCAGGAAGAUGGCAAUUAAGGAGACUUCAGCAUGGUGCCUGGUGUGCAGUAAACACAGAGAACGUAACCAUCACUGACAGCAUGUUGUUCAAUUAUUACCAUAAACCUAAUAAGCUAAGAGUUAGAAAUAUUCUCAUUUCAUGAACUUGUAAAGUGAAACCCAAGAAGGGCAGUUGAUUUAUUUAUUUGUGCAACAUCAGGAAGCUAAAUGAGGUUUUCUUAUUUCUAAGCCAUCUUCUUUUUACUACACCAGGCUGUCUUUCAUUUGCUUGGGAGUAAAAGGAUCAAUAAUUAGCUUUCUGAGGUCUUGAGAAGUUAUUAGCCUCCAGUAAAGCUAGAAACUAUGUGGGCUCCUGAGGUGAUUUUUGCAUUUGUGGCUGUGGCAAAUUGCAGCUCGAGGGUUCUAAGCUCUUAAUUUGUUAUCAUUAGCAGAUGUGAUAGAUUAGCUUUCCAAGUGGUUCUAAUAUUGCCUCAGUGUUGAGAGCCACUGUCUCAGAGACAUUCCACCACCUGAGUAGGAACGACUGCAACAUGUCCAGGGAGUACUGUUUGUAAUAGCAAAAAACUGGGGGCAUGGGGGUGGGAAACUCCAAAUGCUCGACAGGAGACAGGAUAAAGAAUUGUGCAGUGCAUGCUCCUCAGUGGAAUUUAAGCGCUAGGAGGGGAGAGAUUGUGUCUCUUUUGUUCACUGCUGGAUCCUAGCACCUAGAACCACGCCUGGUAAACAUUCAAAUAAGCACUCCGCUAUUCUUUUAGCACUGAAUAUAGUAUAUUUACAUAAUCCCAUUAUAUGGUCCAUCUGACAGCAGCAAAUAGCAAAUGGAUUACAGCUAUAUGCACCAACAGGGAUGAAUGUCAGAAACAUGAGUGCGAACAUAGAAGGCCAAAGAAUACCUGCAGUAUGAUGCCACUUUUUAAAGUUCAAAAUCAAGCGAAACUAAAUAACAGAAUAAUUAGGUACAUAGCCAGUGAGACAACUCUAUAAAUAAGUACAAUAGAAGGAUAAAAGAUGAAGGUUCAGGAUUGUAGUUGUGGCGGUACA